GAUGAACGCUGGCGGCGUGCCUAAUACAUGCAAGUAGAACGCUGAAGCUUGGUGCUUGCACCGAGCGGAUGAGUUGCGAACGGGUGAGUAACGCGUAGGUAACCUGCCUCUUAGCGGGGGAUAACUAUUGGAAACGAUAGCUAAUACCGCAUAAAAGUCGACAUCGCAUGAUGUUGACUUGAAAGGUGCAAUUGCAUCACUAAGUGAUGGACCUGCGUUGUAUUAGCUAGUUGGUGAGGUAACGGCUCACCAAGGCGACGAUACAUAGCCGACCUGAGAGGGUGAUCGGCCAAACUGGGACUGGGACACGGCCCAGACUCCUACGGGAGGCAGCAGUAGGGAAUCUUCGGCAAUGGGGGCAACCCUGACCGGGCAACGCCGCGGGAGUGAAGAAGGGUUUCGGAUCGUAAAGCUCUGUUGUAAGAGAAGAACGAGUGUGAGAGUGGAAAGUUCACACUGUGACGGUAACUUACCAGAAAGGGACGGCUAACUACGUG
rnacentral:rRNA from 1 species